rnacentral:rRNA from 1 species
GACGAACGCUGGCGGCGUGCUUAACACAUGCAAGUCGAACGAAGAGCGAUGGACGCUUGCUUCUAUCAAUCUUAGUGGCGAACGGGUGAGUAACGCGUAAUCAACCUGCCCUUCAGAGGGGGACAACAGUUGGAAACGACUGCUAAUACCGCAUACGAUCUAAUCUCGGCAUCGAGGAUAGAUGAAAGGUGGCCUCUACAUGUAAGCUAUCACUGAAGGAGGGGAUUGCGUCUGAUUAGCUAGUUGGAGGGGUAACGGCCCACCAAGGCGAUGAUCAGUAGCCGGUCUGAGAGGAUGAACGGCCACAUUGGGACUGAGACACGGCCCAGACUCCUACGGGAGGCAGCAGUGGGGAAUCUUCCGCAAUGGACGAAAGUCUGACGGAGCAACGCCGCGUGAGUGAUGACGGCCUUCGGGUUGUAAAGCUCUGUUAAUCGGGACGAAAGGCCUUCCUGCGAACAGUUAGAAGGAUUGACGGUACCGGAAUAGAAAGCCACGGCUAACUACGUG